AUUGAACGCUGGCGGCAUGCCUUACACAUGCAAGUCGAACGGUAACAGGUCUUCGGAUGCUGACGAGUGGCGAACGGGUGAGUAAUACAUCGGAACGUGCCUAGUAGUGGGAGAUAACUACUCGAAAGAGUGGCUAAUACCGCAUGAGAUCUACGGAUGAAAGUAGGGGAUCGCAAGACCUUGUGCUACUAGAGCGGCCGAUGGCAGAUUAGGUAGUUGGUGGGAUAAAAGCUUACCAAGCCGACGAUCUGUAGCUGGUCUGAGAGGACGAUCAGCCACACUGGGACUGAGACACGGCCCAGACUCCUACGGGAGGCAGCAGUGGGGAAUUUUGGACAAUGGGCGCAAGCCUGAUCCAGCAAUGCCGCGUGCAGGAUGAAGGCCUUCGGGUUGUAAACUGCUUUUGUACGGAACGAAAAGCCCUGGGUUAAUACCCUGGGGUCAUGACGGUACCGUAAGAAUAAGCACCGGCUAACUACGUGCCAGCCGCCGCAGUAA
rnacentral:rRNA from 1 species